AAGAAACUAUCAAGGUUAUAUUUAGACAAGACUGCAAUUAAAGAACUGCCUUCGUCAAUUAAUAAACUCACAGGCCUCACUGUUUUGGACCUAUCUCGGUGUCGAGAACUCAAGAGCCUGCCGAGCAGCAUUCAUAUGGGAUCUCUUCAAACCCUUAAUCUUUCUGGUUGCUCAAACCUGGAGCAGUUUCCAGAUAUUUCAGGUGUUAUGGAGAAGCUAUCAGAGCUUUAUUUAAACGAGACUGCAAUUAAAGAACUGCCUUCGUCAAUUAAUAAACUCACAGGCCUCACUGUUUUGGACCUAUCUCGGUGUCGAGAACUCAAGAGCCUGCCGAGCAGCAUUCAUAUGGGAUCUCUUCAAACCCUUAAUCUUUCUGGUUGCUCAAACCUGGAGCAGUUUCCAGAUAUUUCGGGUGUUAUGGAGAAGCUAUCAGAGCUUUAUUUAGACGAGACUGCAAUUAAAGAACUGCCUUCGUCAAUUAAUAAACUCACGAGCCUUACUAUUUUGGUCCUAAGAGGCUGUCGAGAACUCAAGAGCAUGCCAAGCAGCAUUCAUAUGGGAUCUCUUCAAACCCUUAAUCUUUCUGGUUGCUCAAACCUGGAGCAGUUUCCAGAUAUUUCAGGUGUUAUGGAGAAGCUAUCAGAGCUUUAUUUAGACGAGACUGCAAUUAAAGAACUGCCUUCGUCAAUUAAUAA
rnacentral:lncRNA from 1 species